UUUUUUUCUGAGUACUUUAUAAUAUUUUAAAGAUUUUGAGUAAUUCACAUAUUAAGAUUUAUCUUUGAAUUACUUCAUUAAUAAAUUUAUCCAAGUUCUUUUUAAACAUUCGGCAUUGUGGGAUGCCAAGAGAAUCAAUAGAAGCUACCCUUGAGGUACUUACAACCUAUUCAAAUCAGCAACAUAAAAUCAUAUUAAAAUAAUUUCUCAUUUAAGCUCGAUCUAGAAAGGUAACAUAGUCUUAGUUGAUUCUUUGUUCAUAACACAUAAAGCUCCAUGAAGUUUGGUUGUUCCCCUUUCUUAAAGGUCAAAGAUUGUAAUUUCUAAUAUUUCCCCAGUCUUUAAGUAUGUUUAUCUAUGAAUAGUUAAAAGAUAUGGAAAUGAAUUUCAAAUAUGCCUGGUCCUUUAAGUAUGCCCUUGAAGACAGUGCAGACCUUUUACUCUUAGAUGACUAAGCACAUGCCUGAGGCUGAGGCUGAUAUAAACCAGCCCUUGCUUUUCCCUUUAGCAACAUAAUCAUCUAGACAAAGUCUGCCUCAGAUGGGCAACCAACAGUCUUCUCUCUGUGGUUAUCCUCUCUCUUCUUCCAUCCUCUGGGUCCUCUCUGGUGAAAAUAAUUUCCUUUUAAGCCACUGAAAGUUCAUUUCUUUAAAAAUAUGAUAUAUGGCUAUUUAGAAGUUCUAACUCUCUUUUUCAACAUCCUGAAAUAAUUCAGUAAUGUAUUUUCCCAGGUAAUCCCAACGUCUCCCAAUCCUCUGACUUUCAUCUAGUCCAGAGCCCUCUGCCAUAACUCUUAAGAUUACUAGGACACAUCUUUUCUCUGUGUCACUCUUAUCUUUCAUUCUGAACUCCUGACUUCUCUUUAAUCACCGUGGCCUCCUUGCUCACUGUUCAUCAAGGUGUCAUCCUCUCCCCACACCACUUGGUCCCAAAGAUGAACAUAAAUAAUUUUGUCCAGCCCCAUUAACACAGAGCUAGUGUGUGUAUUAGAUGGUCCUGAAGCUUUGGAGUUGAUGGUGGAGAAUCACAACAGAGUACACCAAAUCAUUUGAAACUGGGUAUAGAUACCAUGUUUCUUGAGUUGUUUUAGCCAUUUCCAUAAAAGAGGGCUCCUUUGUGCCUGUCAUCUCCUUAGGCACAGUCCUCUUUUGAUGUCCUUAGGGCCUCAGAACUGAAAGAUGCUCUCUGCUCACUGCCUCUCCUCCCCAUCCUGCUAAGCAGCAACAUGGUAUCAAUCCACAUACAACAAAUCAUACCAACAAAAAACAAAGCAUUUUCUAAGGUUAAUAACCUUUACUUCAUUACAUACAGAAUGUGUCUAUUGUCUUGACUUCUCCCUAUAGGUGCUUCAUUUCCCAUUACUACAAAGCCUAUUAAAGAGCUUGCUUAAAUAAGAGAGCAGUUUUCCCCAGAAGUGAAUUUGUCACUACAGAAGACUUAAGGAAGUUAACAGACCAUGCCCUGCAAUUUAUUCAGUAACAUUUCCCCUCCUCCUUUCACGUGACAUUGCGUUUCUUUGUUUACAUAGUCAUAAACCUUCUACCUGGAGCAAUGUAACUCCAAACAGCGUUUCUAAGAAGUGGUAAUCCUGUUCCCUGGGAAAGGACCGCAGCAGACAAAUCAUCUGAAAUAAAAUGGAAAAUCAGCCCUUUGCAAUGAUGUAUCUGCUUCAGUCUCUGUGUGCCAACAUCACCUUCCAGCAUUUUCAAGCCAAAGUUGUCUCCAAACCAAAAGGCAAGAAAUACCUCCUACUCCAGAUAAGGACGCUGAGAAAAGUUGGCAGUCUGCCGUAAGACAGCCUUCACCAGAACCAUGCUGGCACCCUGAUCUUGGACUUCCAGCCGCCAAAACUGUCAGAAAUAAAUUUUUAUUGUUUUUAAGCCAUCUAGCCCAUGGUGUUUUGUGAUAACAGCCCUAACAAUCUAAGAGGGUGACCAUCAUUAAUAAACUCGUGAUUAUUUUUCACUUUCAAAGAAAUGUGUUUCUUCAGUCCACUAAAAAGGCUUAAAAGCAAUGACCAACUCACAAGUGGCGGUUAUCACAAAUACCCAGAUUUUGAGCGCUUUUGUGGACAAACCCUAAGGAAACCCCCCAGUGACCUUUGUACAGCCUCCUUAUUUCAAGCGCAAGCAGAGCCUGUAACUUGCUCCUAGCCAAUAGAAUGGACAGAGAUGACGGGAUAUCACUUUCAUGAUUACACUAUGUUAUAUAAAACUCCAUGUCGUCUGACUUUAGUGAGAGAGAUUCUGCUGGGGCCUUGAAGAAGCAAGCUGCUGUGAUGUGAACUACUCACGGAGAGGGCCAGGCAGUGGGGACCUGUGGGUAGCCUCCAGCCUACAGCCAGCGAGAAGGUGGGCUGUUAGUCAUCAGCCACAAGAAGAUGAAUUCUGCCAACAACUUAAAUGAGAAUGAAAGCAAAUUCUUCCUUAGUCAAGCUUCCAAAUAAGAAUGCAUCUUACCAAAAUCCUUGAGUUCAACCUCGGGAUGCCCUGAGUAGGAGACUCAGCUAAGUGAUGCCCAAAUUUCUGACCUACAGAAACUGUAAGAUUUCAUAGGUAACUUUUAUAUAUAUAAUCUUUAUAUUUAUAGACAUUUACAUAUUAAAAGAUUAUAGAUGUAUACGAGCAUGUGUGCAUGUGUAUAUAGAUAUUAAGUCACUAGUUCGUGGUAAUUUGUUACAUAGAAAUGGAAAACUAAUAUAGAGCCUAAGUACUUUUUCUAAGAGGAACAAAGGAUCCUUGAAAGAAUGACUGGUUUAAGGUUUGGGUCCGAAAAUAUACUACGUAAGGCUAGAACACGUUGUCAUACCAGGAAGCACAACAUCCUCAAAGACCAUCAUGGUUUUGUUAAAAAGUACGUGGGGACCAACUUAAAGGAGCUGCCUAAAUAUGAGUAAAUUUGCUAUCCAGAAAAACAAUGACAUUCCAGGGGUUUAAAAAUACCUAAAAUAGAUCCUUGUAAUUUUGGAAGUUAUUAUGCCAACAUCUCAUGAUCCUGAAAAUGAUUAAAGAGAGAGAAAAAGGCAACUAUGUUAUCUUUACUGAAUGAACUCUAUUGAAAGCUAACCAAAUAGUGGGUGAAAGCUCUUUGUAGGAGAAUAUUAGCAGAGAAAUGCAGAAGGAAUGAUGAAAUUAGAAUAUAAGUAUUUUGCAAUCCCUAAUGAAAUAACGAAUCUAGGCUAUCAUCAUCAAUUGCUGCAAAAAAAAAAAAUUAAGUGAAAAGC